UAAAGAGCUAACCUUACAUCGUAGCGAAAGAGUAUCGACUUUGGGACGUUUGUUAUCGCUAGCGUUACAUUAUUAAAAGUUUAGCUCUUGUAUUCAAUCAUGUUUCUUAUAACAGUAUUCCAUAAUGUAAGUAUAUUAAAUACACAGGAAAAAGGUUGAACGUGAACAAAGUUGGGCUACUCACACGACGAAAACUGUUGCCAGCAGCACCAGCCCUGUGUGAUACCUGGUUCAGUGCCCGAGAGUCUUCCAUGACUCUGCAGUAGAGUGGAGAACAUACUGCGACCAUGCCCCAAUGAUGUGCCUGUCUCUCUGGCCCUGGACACCUUACCGGCCCAGGCAGCAGAUCCCUUCCAUACACAUCUCUUCUCACUCUCAGAACCCAAGAGAGGACAGAUCAAGCCUUCCCUGUCUUACUGUGAGAAGGAGUGGGUUUAUGCGUUCCAUGUCCCCGUUUGAUGCCUCCAAAAGCAGCAUCUACUGAACCCACCAUCCCACAUGACCGAACACAGAAUAAACAGACCCUCAAGACACUAGAAAGAUUGGGCUUUGCCAGGAAUACCAGGCCAAAUGGCUGGUGGGCUGCUGGACAGAAGAGCUCAUUCCCCUCAACACAGACCGCCACGGUAGGUAAUUAACACCCGCUACCGCCAAAUGCGAGUAGUUGUUUCCUGUUCGCAUAGAUUUACCAAAAC